AAAAAGAGCUUCUGUCGUGAGUGGCACACGUAAAGCAGCUUGAUUGUUCUACGUGUUGAAUCAACAUCGAGAGAUUUCGGAAGCAUAAUUUUUUGGUACCUGGGCAGCUAAGUGAUUGUUGGUCCUGGCGCCCUU